AACCAAACUGAACCACACUGAAUUAGAAAUGCAAUGCGGUUUUUUUUCUAAUAUGGUUCGGUUUGGUUUAAAAAAAUAAAAUAAAAUUGGUUUUCAGUUUGGUUUUGGUUUCAGGUAUUGAAAACCGAAAAACCGAAAUCCAAACCGAAAUUUCAGCCCAUACCCUAAAUAUAACCUAGCCCAAUUCUGUUUUUACCCUAAGUAUAUAAAGUGUAAAAAAAAAACCCCCUAAUCUAUCAUUCCUCUCCGCCUCUCUCACUCUCUCAAUUCAAUACUCAUUCUCAAUCCCUCACUGGCUCAUUCCACUGUCCACCGUUCACCGGCAUCCGACAGUCACCGUCCACCGGCGUCCACCCUCUCAAAUCAAAAGCCCAAAGUUAUAGGCUUAGGAGCAUAUCCACGUUGGUAAGUCAGCUAUGGUUGCUAGCCGCCGACGGCAGGAUAGCCAAGAGGAGGAAGACGAUCACGAGCAUGCAUAUGAGGCUUCGCCACUCCCGCCACCAGACGUGGCAUACAGUUGCAGGUGGCUGGUGCGGAGACUUACUCGUGUGCAUGCAGCGAGGGGUCUACCGUAUUACAGAGACGCGACAGAACGAGUCUCAGAUGACGUGGGAUCCGUACGUCGCUGACUUAGUCGAUGCCAUGCCCCCAUAUCUACGUGAUCAUCAGAUAGAGUGGCGUGCCAUGAUAGUCCUCAUUCGUUUUGAGGUAGUGGAGGCUCACCCCCCCCAUAGAGUCAUGCGACAGUUCGGCCUUCGUCAGGCUAUCCCCGCCACGUGUAACACGAGUGUCCACUUAGACUGGACAGACCGACGAGGAAAGGGGGACGUGAGCUGGGCAGUUUAGUAUGCCCCUUUCAUUGACAUGUGGGAUCAGCGGUUGCAGCACGUCGUGGAUGGUGCGCCUUUCCAUGGCCAGAUGGAGUAUCACGAUCCAUACAUGGUAUGGUACAUGAGCAUUACCGACGCUUCAUUAACCCUAACUACACCCCACCCUCAACUCAUUAUCAACCAGCUUUUGGAGACAUUAGUGGAUAUGCGUUUGAUAUGCUAGCUAUACAUGAUGCACCGGGAGUCUUGAGCAUAUCAUAUCCCACCAUACCGCAGAUAGAUGAAAUUCAAGCAAUGACUGUGAGUAGCUUACAAAGACAUGGUCAUGGUCAUCUUAUCCAAGGGCGGGACCAAUCACAGCAGCGUUCACACUGUGAGAUAGGCGAAAGUAGUAGGGGACAAACUCACACGUCCCCUACAGCGUCCUCGCAGUUUUUUUACAGUUAGGAGGAUUUCGCUGUACCCUUGUCUGCGCCAUACUCAUCACAGGAGGGACAAUCAUCCAACCAACAGACUCCUCCCCAGACUUCUACCCUAGAUCCUUUCAUAACGGUAUCUCAUUACUAUCGCCGUCGGAGACCGCGAGUUGAUAGACAGCAAUUACGUCGAAUAGAUGAAUCAGGAUUUUAGAAUUUCUUUUGUUAGUUUGUUGUAAUCAGAUUCUCUAGUACUUUGUAUCCAAACAAAUAUUAUCAAUAUU